rnacentral:lncRNA from 1 species
CCCCAUACUGAACCUCAAAGUCUUAUAUCAUGACUUUUCAUUCUGUAAAUCAUAUUCAUUUACAAUUAUAAUUCAAACAUUUAAAAUCAAUUCUUGUUGUAAUGUGUGUAUAACUGUGACGUGACCUUAAAUAUAGGUCAGUUCUGUCGCAAUAUGUGUAUAACCGUCACGCGACCUUAAAUGUAGGUCAGUAUGUUAACCCAUUAAAUCUUAUACUCAACCGGACAUAACUUGAAAAAUCCGGCCAUCGAAUUUCUUGAUUUAUUCUAUGUCAGAAUGUCUUUUGAACUACAUUUUGUACGUGUCCAACUAGUAAAUCAUAAGGGUCUGGAUAGAGGGU